rnacentral:rRNA from 1 species
AUUGAACGCUGGCGGCAGGCUUAACACAUGCAAGUCGAGCGGGGUGAUGGUGCUUGCACUAUCGCUUAGCGGCGGACGGGUGAGUAAUGCUUAGGAAUCUGCCUAUUAGUGGGGGACAACAUCUCGAAAGGGAUGCUAAUACCGCAUACGUCCUACGGGAGAAAGCAGGGGAUCGCUUGUGACCUUGCGCUAAUAGAUGAGCCUAAGUCGGAUUAGCUAGUUGGUGGGGUAAAGGCCUACCAAGGCGACGAUCUGUAGCGGGUCUGAGAGGAUGAUCCGCCACACUGGGACGGGGGCACGGCCCAGACUCCUACGGGAGGCAGCAGUGGGGAAUAUUGGACAAUGGGGGGAACCCUGAUCCAGCCAUGCCGCGUGUGUGAAGAAGGCCUUAUGGUUGUAAAGCACUUUAAGCGAGGAGGAGGCUCUUUUGGUUAAUACCCAAGAUGAGUGGACGUUACUCGCAGAAUAAGCACCGGCUAACUCUGUGCCAGCAGCCGCGGUAA